ACGAGAAAUAGAAUUAUCGGUAAGUAAAUUCUUAUUAUUCUUUCUCUUUGAUUCCUCCAGUAUAUCCUUGUCCUACAACAAGCCACAGAUAUCGAAGAUCUGUAUUUGGGGAGAUAGGACACACUAUCAUUAACUUGUUAUCGUACCUUAGAAAUGACCAGUAUACAAUACCACAUGUAGAUGUUUUGGUAAUUCACAUGGAAAUGGGAAAAAAGCUACAUAAAGAUACUUUCAAAGUGACAUAAUGAGGAUCAUAAGCCCUAUUGAUGGAAGGAAUUCCAAGUGAAAGGAUUUGUCAGGAAACUGAUUUUGAAUCUCAUGAUAAAACGGUGAAAUGUACAGAGGUAAGACUCUUCCAGUCAUCUGUCUUAUAGGCCCUACACACUGGGCGAUUUUUUGAAAGAU